rnacentral:lncRNA from 1 species
AAAAAAAAAAAAAACAAAAAAAACGAGAGCUGCACCAUACAAAAAUCUCCUCCAAAAGAUGUUUCAGCACCUAGACAACACAUUUCCCAUUCUUCAUUCAAUAAAAAAAAAAAAACAAUGCAUUGCUGCCCACCGUCCCAUCAUCACAAGCAACAUCUACUUCUACCUAAUCUACUAGGUAAACAUGAUACUACUUUUUCCAAAAGAAAAUAAAUGCAAUGCUAAACAUUAAACUCCCAAGCUUGGCACGUCCCAUCAUAUCUCCUUUUUAAAUCUGUUGCCGGUAGCACCAUUUUUAACCCCCAAAUGAAUUCAGCUGGUUUUUCCUUCUAGGCUGUGACAGAAUAAAUAAAAUAAUAAUAUCCAAUGCCAAAAAGUUCUUUCAAAUGAAAUGUUUUAUCCAAAUUUGAUGUAGCGGGCUACACUGCGUGAUGCCUUUCCAAUUAAAAAAAAAGCAACGCCUCCCUUAAAUGAAAGCAAGGCAAAGAAACAAUGAAAGCUAAAGUGGGUGGGAAGCUACAGAGGUAAGUCAGCGCAACAAGAGUUUUAGCAUCCCAAAAAAACUUUCCAAAAGCACUAGUAAGUGGCAGCUUGUGCUUCCUUAAAUGAAGCUUCAAUAGAAAAGUGCAUGAAACUAAAUGGAAAGACCAAAAGUAAAAUCAGCAAAAGAAAUUAACCGUGAGCUCCCUCAUCCAAAAUCAAACAAUGCAAUUAGAAGCCCCA